rnacentral:rRNA from 1 species
UACGUAGGGGACGAGCGUUGUCCGGAAUUACUGGGCGUAAAGGGCGCGCAGGCUGCGCGUCGAGUCGGCUGUUAAAGAUCCGGGCUUAACCCGGUGAAGCGGUCGAGACCGACGAGCUGGAGUGCUGCAGAGGCAAGUGGAAUUCCCGGUGUAGCGGUGAAAUGCGUAGAGAUCGGGAGGAACACCAGUGGCGAAGGCGGGUAACAGGACUGCAACUGACGCUGAGGCGCGAAAGUGUGGGGAGCAAACAGGAUUAGAUACCCCUGUAGU